rnacentral:rRNA from 1 species
UCAAAGAGGGAUCCAGUGAAAUUGUAGUGGAGGUGAAAAUUCCUCCUACCCGCGGCAAGACGGAAAGACCCCGUGAACCUUUACUAUAGCUUGACACUGAACAUUGAGCCUUGAUGUGUAGGAUAGGUGGGAGGCUUAGAAGUGUGGACGCCAGUCUGCAUGGAGCCGACCUUGAAAUACCACCCUUUAAUGUUUGAUGUUCUAACGUGGACCCGUGAUCCGGGUUGCGGACAGUGUCUGGUGGGUAGUUUGACUGGGGCGGUCUCCUCCCAAAGCGUAACGGAGGAGCACGAAGGUUAGCUAAUCCUGGUCGGACAUCAGGAGGUUAGUGCAAUGGCAUAAGCUAGCUUGACUGCGAGCGUGACGGCGCGAGCAGGUGCGAAAGCAGGUCAUAGUGAUCCGGUGGUUCUGAAUGGAAGGGCCAUCGCUCAACGGAUAAAAGGUACUCCGGGGAUAACAGGCUGAUACCGCCCAAGAGUUCAUAUCGACGGCGGUGUUUGGCACCUCGAUGUCGGCUCAUCACAUCCUGGGGCUGAAGUAGGUCCCAAGGGUAUGGCUGUUCGCCAUUUAAAGUGGUACGCGAGCUGGGUUUAGAACGUCGUGAGACAGUUCGGUCCCUAUCUGCCGUGGGCGCUGGAGAAUUGAGGGGGGCUGCUCCUAGUACGAGAGGACCGGAGUGGACGCAUCACUGGUGUUCGGGUUGUCAUGCCAAUGGCACUGCCCGGUAGCUAAAUGCGGAAGAGAUAAGUGCUGAAAGCAUCUAAGCACGAAACUUGCCCCGAGAUGAGUUCUCCCUGAGACUUUAAGUCUCCUGAAGGAACGUUGAAGACGACGACGUUGAUAGGCCGGGUGUGUAAGCGCAGCGAUGCGUUGAGCUAACCGGUACUAAUGAACCGUGAGGCUUAACCUU